rnacentral:misc_RNA from 1 species
AAGACUAUAGACCUGCGGAGUACCUGCGGAGGGAUCAUUAUCGAGUGUAAUCUACCCCUUUAAAAAAGGGUAGUACCUCCCGUCCUUUGCAGGCCUCUUUUUUUAUUAGGGGGGGCUUUUUAAGACUUUCUGCUUCGGCGGGGUUACUCCCGCCGGAACACCCUCAAAAAAUUCUCGAAAAAAAUCGUUCAGUCCGAGAACUUUUUAAAAAUAAAAUAAAACUUUUAACAAUGGAUCUCU